rnacentral:rRNA from 1 species
GAACGUGAAAUGUAGCAAUACAGAGUAAAGUGGCGUACGGGUGAGUAACGCGUAGGUAAUCUACCCCAGAAUCUGGAAUAACCUGCCGAAAGGCGGGCUAAUACUGGAUAGAGCGACGGAAUCCGUAAUUGGGUUUUUCGGGAAAGGGAGCUCGCAAGAGCCUUCGUUCUGGGAUGAGCCUGCGUCUCAUUAGCUAGUUGGUGGGGUAAUGGCCCACCAAGGCAUUGAUGGGUAGCUGGUCUGAGAGGAUGAUCAGCCACACUGGAACUGAAACACGGUCCAGACUCCUACGGGAGGCAGCAGUGGGGAAUCUUGCGCAAUGGACGAAAGUCUGACGCAGCCACGCCGCGUGAGUGAAGAAGGCCUUCGGGUUGUAAAGCUCUGUCGGGCGGGACGAAAAUAUUUAGAGUUAAUAGCUCUAGAUACUGACGGUACCGCCAAAGGAAGCACCGGCUAACUUCGUG